rnacentral:ncRNA from 1 species
CGUCGGGAGAACCAGACUACUGGUGCCGAAGGAGCAACCGCCUCGGAAACUCUCAGGCCAACGGACCGACGUA